rnacentral:rRNA from 1 species
AAUGAACGUUGGCGGCAUGGAUUAGGCAUGCAAGUCGAGCGAGAAGAGUUUUGAAGCUUGCUUUAGAACUCGGACAGCGGCGAAAGGGAGAGUAACGCGUAGUUAUGUGCCCUAGGGUCCGGAAUAGCCACGGGAAACUGUGGGUAAUGCCGGAUAACAUCCCCGGAUCAAAGGUGUGAUCCCGCCCUAGGAGCAGACUGCGUCCUACUAGCUAGUUGGUGGGGUAAUGGCCCACCAAGGCAAUGAUGGGUAGCGGGUGUGAGAGCAUGACCCGUCUCACUGGGACUGAGACACUGCCCAGACACCUACGGGUGGCUGCAGUCGAGAAUCUUCGGCAAUGGGCGAAAGCCUGACCGAGCGAUGCCGCGUGCGGGAUGAAGGCCCUCGGGUUGUAAACCGCUGUCGUAGGGGAGGAAGGUUCCGUGAGGAGCGGAAUUUGACCUAUCCUAGGAGGAAGUACGGGCUAAGUUCGUGCCAGCCGCCGCUGUAA